rnacentral:lncRNA from 10 species
CAACGAUUUCCAUUCAGCUCAACCAGUCACAAGGAAUCAGCUUAGAAAAUGGAAAAGCCUCGAUGUUCCAGCCAGAGCCUCACCCUCAUCCCCCUCCUUUUCUGCCCCCUCGAACCUGGUUUCCAGAAAGUGCUCUUCUGCUACACCCUGAUGGGCUGUCCUCCCCUUGGUUUCCUGAGUGCUGUGGGGGAUCAUUAACUCCUCUGCAGCUACCGAAACUUAUGAAACAUUUCCUGCAACCGAAUGCACCUUGGUUCCCUGCAGGACAGGCUGGAGCGGGAGUCUGUUUUAGAGGAGCAGGCACGUAGGAGCUGGAGGCCCCUCCCUCCUGAGGGCUGCCUGGGUAGUCCCAGGACCCGCCCUUGGUGCAGAGUCCUGCCUAGAGAAAUUAAUCUCUGGCUCCUGAGGCAGCUUCACUUUUUUUUUUUUUUUUUUUUUGGUGUUCCCUGUCCUGCUUCCCCAGAGGAAGCCAGAAGAAGACCCCAGUUGCCAUGAACUCCGCCGUCACUAGCCGUGAGCACUCCACUUACUCGCAGAGGAGUGAUGUCGUGCUCAGCUCCCAACCUAUGGCCAAGGCAGGAGGACAGAUAGGCAGCCCGGGAGUCCCGCAGCAGCUGCCUGGCCUAUGACAUCUUGGACAUCCUGCCAUGUUAUCUCUGUAUCUUCUUGGGGAUUCAGCACUUCCUCACAGCCCUGGGGGGCCUCAUGGCGGUGCCAUUCAUCCUGGCCAAGGACCUGUGCCUGCAGCAGGACCCCCUGACACAGAGCUACCUCAUCAGCACCAUUUUCUUUGCUCCAGCAUCUGCAUGCUCCUGCAAGUGUUUUUAGGGGUCAGGUUAAAACAAGAGAAACGCAGGGGUGCAUCCAAGCCGCAGGAACACGAACCAGGGACUCAAAUGCUGCCGGGAUCUUCUCUGUCUCUUGACUCUGCUCAAGCCUGCCCCUAAUAUUUGCAAGACCCUCGGUACAAGUACAAAUGGAGACCCA